rnacentral:tRNA from 1 species
AUUACUUUGGCAGAAUAGUGUAAUAGAUUUAGAAUCUAAAAAUGUAAUAAAUUACAAGUAAUA